CACGCCGCCGCCGCCCCGCGCUGCCCGGCGCGGAGGUCCCGGUCCCGAGCGCGGAGCCGCGGUCCCUCUUCGGGGAGAGCGCUGGGAAUGAGCGCUGGGAAUGAGCGCAGCGUUAAAGCCCCGCUGAUACGCGUAAUGAAUCCAAAGGAACCCGCGGCAGCAGAGUUAACACCUCCGCGGGAGGAGGGGGGAAAUAAUCGAGGAAGCAAUUAAUAAAGGGCUUUAAAAAAUCAAUUUCCCCCUGCGCGAAUUGGAAAUGAUGAUGGAGGGGACAGGGAUGGAUCGCUGGGUGUCGGCAGCGCGAGUUGUUGCGCCUUCGUGUCUCGGCCGCGUCCUUCCCCCGGAGUUGGCGGAGGGGCCGCGGACGCCGCGCACAGUGACACGCGGAGCUGUCAGCCCGAACGCUCCGUACGCGUCGCACGGCCCCGCAUGAAUAAUACGGGCAAAUGGGAGACGUGGGAGCAAUGUCUUAAAGGAAAAAAAAAAAAGAAAGAAAGAAAAAAAAAACAGAAAAAGAAAAAAAGCAGACUCCGGAGCCACACUCAGCCAUGUGCCUGCGUCGGAGUUUAUGCUUAUGCGCGGCGAUGUUCAAUGCAUUUAGGCUGCCAGUUUGCCUUCCCCGGACCGUUCUCCCCACUCCCAGCCUCGCUCCCCUCCGCUACCCCUGGGGCCCCCGUCCUCGAGGACCAGGACAAACCAACCCUCCUCCCCAAAAACAGCUGCCAGAGGGAGGGAAGCCCCGUGGCGCUCCCGUUUCUCGCUGCCCCCCGGGACAGCCGUCACCCUCCCCCGGCUCCACCAGCGCGGAAAAUGAGCGGCCCGACGGCACCGACGGCUGCGAGGAGGCGGCCUUUUGGGGAGCACGGGCGUGAGGACACCCGCCUCAGGGUCACUCCCAAUGCAAAAAGCGAAACAAAGCAUCGGAAAAGGAAAGGAGGGGAAAAAGUGGGAAAAAUAAAUAAAUAAGAAUGAAAAGAAGAGGUACGGAUCGCAGCUCCUCCCCCCUGGGGACCCGGCCGACGGCCAACGCAGGGGCGCGGGGGUUGCCGGGCCUGUCCCGUCGCAGGUGGGGAGCGCCCCCCCCCGCAACGUACGGGCAGCGAGGGCACGAAGAGGAGCGCGGACGAAGUUUUAUUUUUAGGAAAACGUUUGCAAAGGAGAGAGAGAGAAACGACCUCGGACGGAGAGAGAACGGCGGAGGGGCUGCGGCCGGGGCUGCCCGCAGUGCGCUGCCGUCGGGGCCCGACCGGUGGGUCCGUACGGAGCGCUACGGCCGGGGGGGGCUGCAGGAGCGAAUGGAGAGCGGCAGAAACGCGGAGGGCUCCGUUCUCGUUAGUCCGACUCGUAGAAAUGUAACCAAAAGGGGUACAUCAACUCAGCGCGAAAACACACACGCCGAUUUCGGUAGCUCGGGAUAACUCGAGAGGAAUUGGAAGAGUCUGUCAGGAAAACAACAGCAACAACAACAAUAAUAACAGCAAUAACAAUUGCCGGAGGUGGGGGAUAAAAAAAAAAAAGAGAGAGAGAGUGGAAAAGUUCCGAGCCGCAAAGUUUGCGCCGAUCGUAGGGACGCAAAAUGCGCGCAGAGGGCCGUUCGCCUCCCCCAGCACUGUGCGAGGGACGCUGCAGCGCUGAGCUCUGUAAUAAUGAUUAAUAAGUCAAAAGGGCAUAUUUUGCUUUUACGGUAUGCAGCGCUCCAGGGAAUAUUCUGCGUACGGCUUUAAAACGAAGUAGGGAUAUUUACACACAUGCACGGAGUUAGCAACAGCACCAAAGGCAGAAAAAACCCCUCGAAUAUUUCAGCGAACUAUUACAUUUUUUCAAUUAUUUCCCAAUGAGCAUUUCAAUGAACUGUUACAUUUUCCCAAUUCGCGGGGAAGAUUUAUGGGAUUAUUAAGAUUUCUAGUGGAAAUAUUAUCCAGUGGAAGUUUAUCGUCUCUCAGGGGCUGUACACCAUUUGAUAUCAAUUUCCAGAUGUUAUGAUCUUUUUUCAGAAAAUAAUUGAGCACAUUACCUCCCUUCCUACAGAAGACCCUUUCGGUGUUUAUUUAUUUAUUCUGUCGGGGGCACGGCUGUCUCUUCUCCCCCAGAACGAAAUUUCUCGAAACGCUCGAGCAAACUUAAAUCAGAAACUGCUCGAUCCUCGGGGGGAGGAAUAAUUCAUUUGCGGGGUCGUUACGGGCAGAAGCCCGUGGGUUUGCCUCCUCUUCCACGCCACGCUUCGCGCGGAGGACGCAGCCCACGACGGCCGCCGGAGCGUUCCGGCCCCGCCGGCGGGCG
ensembl:lncRNA